CGUCCGCAAUCGUGAGAUAUAAGUCGGUUAGCAUGGCAAUUUGCACACGGCACGAAACCACUGCUUGGAAAUACCCCAUACGGUAACCAACCUACAUGUAUAUCCGUUUUGCUAUUUCUAUACGAUCUAUUUAUGGGGAUGUAUAGCGAUUUGCAUAAAAUGUGCGGGGGGGAUUUAGCCGCACGCAACAACUCUGUCAACACAGUCAACACGUUAGGUGUAUGAUCACACACUAUCUGGAUCAAAUUCAUCGUAACAUCGAGGCCUUGAUGUGUGGCGGUGCAACAGCUGACUGUUAACCGGAGAACAUUAGCCAACCAUUAUCGUCGACGCCUGAUCGCAUUAGCCAGAAUGAAGUUUUACAUGUGCCUGGUUCUCCUGAUGGUCGUUGGAUGUGCCUUGAGUUUCGCAAAUAUGCAUUGAUCUUAAUAAGUUAUUCACCAUAAGUUGACCCAUGAGGGUACAAGUGUCAAGUCGAGGGAAGUUGAGUCACAUUGCUGUUAAAAUUAAAUCGAGUCUCUGACAUGUUAUCGCCGUUUCAAUUGUAGUGUCUGGGGCAUGUUUCCAUACCUCGAUAUGUAUAAUUAGAGACGCUGAAGUUUUGUCUGCGCAGGCUCGAUACAAAAACAGGGGAUUUCCAGGUACACGGCCCAAUAGCUGCGCCAAUGUCUAGAUUCCCAUAACUGUCUUCAUUCGAAGAAGGUCCCACUUUGUACCAUUCCUGUCUACUUGGAAAUACCCCAUAGUAACCUACAUGUAUGAAGCGUGCGCUGCAACAUGAGCGCGUUCAUUCCUAUAUGAUAUAUGUAUGGGGCUGUAGCGAGCGAUUUGCAUAAAAUGUGCAGGGGUAUUUCCAGUACCUGGUUACUCGGAAAUGUACAAUGACUGGGCCAGGUUGUUUCUAUAGCUCCAUUGUAACCACAGCCGCGGAUAUUUGUUUGAACAUCGGGUUCCAGACAAAAGCAGGGGAUUUCUAGGCACAUGUAAUAGCUGCGCCAAUGUCUAGGUUCCCAUAUUGUCCUCAUUCGAAUUAGGUCCCACUCUGUACCAGUGCCUGACUACUUGGAAAUACCCCCGCGUAUACCCUAAGCGUACGCUGCAACAUGAGCGGAGCGAUUUGCACACAAUGUGCAUGUGGAUUUCCAGGCGCACGUAAACCAAAGCCGCAGACAUUUUGUUUGAAAAGGUUCAACAGGCACACUCAAUGCAGCGCCAAAAGUCUAGGUUCCCAUUGUCCUCAUUUGAAUUAGGUACAACUUUGUACCAGUACCUGCAGCUACUUGGAAAUACCCCCAUUGUGUGUCAGUCUCUCGCUUCAGCACGAGCCCUUUCAUUAAUUCUAUACGAUAUAUUUAUGGGGGCUGUAGUGAACGAUUUGCAAAAAAAUAUGCAGGGGUAUUUCCAGCCACACGCUAGCUUUAGAUUAACGUGGCAAGAUAUGAUAAUGUCAGUAGCUUGGAUUAGCCAGAAUGAAGUUUUACAUGUGCCUGGUUCUCCUGAUGGUCGUUGGAUGUGCCUUGAGUUUCGCAAAUAUGCAUUGAUCUUAAUAAGUUAUUCACCAUAAGUUGACCCAUGAGGGUACAAGUGUCAAGUCGAGGGAAGUUGAGUCACAUUGCUGUUAAAAUUAAAUCGAGUCUCUGACAUGUUAUCGCCGUUUCAAUUGUAGUGUCUGGGGCAUGUUUCCAUACCUCGAUAUGUAUAAUUAGAGACGCUGAAGUUUUGUCUGCGCAGGCUCGAUACAAAAACAGGGGAUUUCCAGGUACACGGCCCAAUAGCUGCGCCAAUGUCUAGAUUCCCAUAACUGUCUUCAUUCGAAGAAGGUCCCACUUUGUACCAUUCCUGUCUACUUGGAAAUACCCCAUAGUAACCUACAUGUAUGAAGCGUGCGCUGCAACAUGAGCGCGUUCAUUCCUAUAUGAUAUAUGUAUGGGGCUGUAGCGAGCGAUUUGCAUAAAAUGUGCAGGGGUAUUUCCAGUACCUGGUUACUCGGAAAUGUACAAUGACUGGGCCAGGUUGUUUCUAUAGCUCCAUUGUAACCACAGCCGCGGAUAUUUGUUUGAACAUCGGGUUCCAGACAAAAGCAGGGGAUUUCUAGGCACAUGUAAUAGCUGCGCCAAUGUCUAGGUUCCCAUAUUGUCCUCAUUCGAAUUAGGUCCCACUCUCUACCAGUGCCUGACUACUUGGAAAUACCCCCGCGUAUACCCUAAGCGUACGCUGCAACAUGAGCGGAGCGAUUUGCACACAAUGUGCAUGUGGAUUUCCAGGCGCACGUAAACCAAAGCCGCAGACAUUUUGU
rnacentral:lncRNA from 1 species